rnacentral:rRNA from 1 species
GAUGAACGCUGGCGGCGUGCCUAAUACAUGCAAGUCGAGCGAACGGACGAGAAGCUUGCUUCUCUGAUGUUAGCGGCGGACGGGUGAGUAACACGUGGAUAACCUACCUAUAAGACUGGGAUAACUUCGGGAAACCGGAGCUAAUACCGGAUAAUAUUUUGAACCGCAUGGUUCAAAAGUGAAAGACGGUCUUGCUGUCACUUAUAGAUGGAUCCGCGCUGCAUUAGCUAGUUGGUAAGGUAACGGCUUACCAAGGCAACGAUGCAUAGCCGACCUGAGAGGGUGAUCGGCCACACUGGAACUGAGACACGGUCCAGACUCCUACGGGAGGCAGCAGUAGGGAAUCUUCCGCAAUGGGCGAAAGCCUGACGGAGCAACGCCGCGUGAGUGAUGAAGGUCUUCGGAUCGUAAAACUCUGUUAUUAGGGAAGAACAUAUGUGUAAGUAACUGUGCACAUCUUGACGGUACCUAAUCAGAAAGCCACGGCUAACUACGUGCCAGCAGCCGCGGUAAUACGUAGGUGGCAAGCGUUAUCCGGAAUUAUUGGGCGUAAAGCGCGCGUAGGCGGUUUUUUAAGUCUGAUGUGAAAGCCCACGGCUCAACCGUGGAGGGUCAUUGGAAACUGGAAAACUUGGGUGCAGAAGAGGAAAGUGGAAUUCCAUGUGUAGCGGUGAAAUGCGCAGAGAUAUGGAGGAACACCAGUGGCGAAGGCGACUUUCUGGUCUGUAACUGACGCUGAUGUGCGAAAGCGUGGGGAUCAAACAGGAUUAAAUACCCUGGUAGUCCACGCCGUAAACGAUGAGUGCUAAGUGUUAGGGGGUUUCCGCCCCUUAGUGCUGCAGCUAACGCAUUAAGCACUCCGCCUGGGGAGUACGACCGCAAGGUUGAAACUCAAAGGAAUUGACGGGGACCCGCACAAGCGGUGGAGCAUGUGGUUUAAUUCGAAGCAACGCGAAGAACCUUACCAAAUCUUGACAUCCUUUGACAACUCUAGAGAUAGAGCCUUCCCCUUCGGGGGACAAAGUGACAGGUGGUGCAUGGUUGUCGUCAGCUCGUGUCGUGAGAUGUUGGGUUAAGUCCCGCAACGAGCGCAACCCUUAAGCUUAGUUGCCAUCAUUAAGUUGGGCACUCUAAGUUGACUGCCGGUGACAAACCGGAGGAAGGUGGGGAUGACGUCAAAUCAUCAUGCCCCUUAUGAUUUGGGCUACACACGUGCUACAAUGGACAAUACAAAGGGCAGCGAAACCGCGAGGUCAAGCAAAUCCCAUAAAGUUGUUCUCAGUUCGGAUUGUAGUCUGCAACUCGACUACAUGAAGCUGGAAUCGCUAGUAAUCGUAGAUCAGCAUGCUACGGUGAAUACGUUCCCGGGUCU